AGCUUUGCGCAGUGGCAGUAUCAUAGCUAGUGAGGUUUAUCUGAGAUGUGAUUACUAAUAAUUGAAAAAAUCCUAUAACCACAGUAUAAUUACAUCUAACUAAUCCAUGUUUUUAUAAUUAUGAUUACAUU
ensembl:snRNA U4 U4 spliceosomal RNA